rnacentral:rRNA from 1 species
AGUCUAAGUAUAAGUUACUAUGUAACGAAACUGCGAACGGCUCAUUAGAACAGUAAUAAUUUGUGUGAGGAUGACUACUACACGGAUAUCUGUGGUAAUUCUGGAGCUAAGACGUGCAUUGAGACUUCUCCAUGAGAAGUCAGCACCUAUUAGCUACUGCCUCAACCUAAGCAAUUAGGUAAGAGUGAUCUAUAAUAGUGUUGCUUAUCAUAGGGUUUACUCUAUGGAACCUCACUUAAGUUUCUGACCUAUCAGCUGUCGACGGUAGGGUAUUGGCCUACCGUGGCUAUGACGGGUAACGGGGAAUUAGGGUUUGAUUCCGGAGAGGGAGCCUGAGAGACGGCUACCACAUCUAAGGAAGGCAGCAGGCGCGCAAAUUACCCAAUCGAGACACUCGGAGGUAGUGACAAGAAAUAUCAAUGCAAUGCUAUAUGUUUUGCAAUUGGAAUGAGUUGAGGGUACAACACUCUACAAGUAUCAAUUGGAGGGCAAGUCUGGUGCCAGCAGCCGCGGUAAUUCCAGCUCCAAUAGCGUAUAUUAAAGUUGUUGCAGUUGAAAAGCUCGUAGUUGAUAAUAAAUAAGAUAUGGGCUCUCUCAUUACGAGAUGAAUUCCAUUUUCUUAUCUUCGUUUAUGUUAUGGGGCUUGCUCCACAAUAUGAACAUGUUACCUUGAAUAAUUUUGAGUGUUUAAAGCAGGCAUUUUGCCUUGUAAACCACAGCAUGGAAUAACAAUGUAGGGCUAGUGCUCGACUUUGAGGUUGAAGAGAACUGGUCAAGAUUAAGAGGAACAGUUGGGGGCA